CUAUCUUUUCGAUUCUGAAAGUUGAGUAUCCAUUGAGCAUGGUUGAAGCAAUUAGCAAGAAAAAAUUAUUAUCUCUUUGGGAAACAUAACCCAAACAAGGUAGAAGAAGCUUUGCAAUUCACCAUUUUUCGACUAAAUUUCCCCUGCAAGGAAGCUCGAAGCUGACAUUGAAGUUACAAGGAAGGAGAUAGAAAAACCAACAGAAGUUGAAGUUGACCUCAAUUGAAGGCUUCAUCAAAAGACUGA